GAUCAUGGCUCAGAUUGAACGCUGAAGCUUGGUGCUUGCACCGAGCGGAUGAGUUGCGAACGGGUGAGUAACGCGUAGGUAACCUGCCUCUUAGCGGGGGAUAACUAUUGGAAACGAUAGCUAAUACCGCAUAAAAGUCGACAUUGCAUGAUGUUGACUUGAAAGGUGCAAUUGCAUCACUAAGAGAUGGACCUGCGUUGUAUUAGCUAGUUGGUGAGGUAACGGCU
rnacentral:rRNA from 1 species